GGCCUGAUAGUUCAGUGGUAGAAUUCUUGCUUUGGGUUGUUUCAGAUCUAAAUUGUAAGAGGUCUCCGGUUCGAUCCCGGAUUAGGCCC